rnacentral:lncRNA from 1 species
GAAUCUCGAGCGGAGAGCUGGAACAAUUACCAAGUAUGAUGAACUUUUCAAUCGAAUGUCAAGGCAUGCUCCAUGAUGGUGGACACCAAUAAGAAACGCGUAAAGAAAUUUGGAAAUGAAUUGUACCAUGAGAUAUUGAAUUUCCCUAGCAAGCCAGACAAAUUUUACGCACAAAUAAGAAAUGAGUGAGACUCUCAUAUUUAGUCAUUGCUACCAAUGGGUAAAGGGAAGCUCACGCAUAGUCAAGGUAUACACUACGUUAAGUUGGUGGUAAAAAAAAAAAAAAAAUGUGAUAGCAGUAACAAUUGCCAAGCGAAAAAGAAGCCAUGACAGGAGCAAUCAUCCCAUCAACAGGGCUAAGAAAGCCAAUGUACUCGUAAACAGAUAGAGGAUAACCAGUAGAGGGUCCUGCCCUGUCCAAAAUGUAACAAGAACCAUGAGAGGUUCUACAAGACUGGCAAUGAUAGCUGUUACAUAGUAGCCAGAAGGGGCAUUAUGCAAACUGUUGCCCGAAUAAGCAAACAAGAGACGGGCACCAGGCUGAACCCGCCUGCUCAGGCUCCGUAUCUGCAAGCAAUCCAUGUUUUGCCCCACCACACCAAGAGUAGUAACCACGCCAACAACAACAACAACAUCAUCAUGAACAGCCCCGUCAUGCUAGGGCUUAUGCUAAAACAGAAACAACCCGAGAAUACUUGAAAAAAAAAAAAAAAAACUAAGACACUACUCUUGUGGUACUUCUGUUUGACGUGGGUGCUUCACAUACUUUCAUAGCAAGUAUAGGUGUUGACACCCUAGGACUUAAAACGGAAGGAGCUAAUCAAGAUUUGAGUAUCUCUUCAUAAAUAUAUGGGUGACGAGUUGGCUUCAAAGGCACCAUGCAG